AUUUGAACGCUGGCGGCAUGCCUUACACAUGCAAGUCGAACGGGCUUUGGGGCUUGCCUCAAAGUUAGUGGCGAACGGGUGAGUAAUAUAUCGGAACGUACCCUAGAGUGGGGGAUAACUAGUCGAAAGACUGGCUAAUACCGCAUACGAUCUAAGGAUGAAAGUGGGGGACCGCAAGGCCUCAUGCUCAUGGAGCGGCCGAUAUCUGAUUAGCUAGUUGGUGGGGUAAAGGCCUACCAAGGCGACGAUCAGUAGCUGGUCUGAGAGGACGAUCAGCCACACUGGGACUGAGACACGGGCCCAGACUCCUACGGGAGGCAG
rnacentral:rRNA from 1 species